CACGCCCGCCGCACGGAGUCAUCACCAACCUCCUCCACUCCUCUCGCUCCCCACGCCCACGCGAUGCCGCCUAGAUUAGAGGAAUUGGAGGCCGUCGCUCCGCCAUGUUCCGUUCAGGAGCCGAAACAACAGGCACCAAUGGCCGCUCCGCAGCCGGCGGCCAACACAAGUGAGUUACACAUCCGGCGAGCCGCCGACUCUAUCUUUCCCACCGUGCCGCAUCAAGAACACCCCUGUAGUGGCUCUCGGUUUGGUCACGCCUGCGCCAUUGGGUUUCUCUCUCAGUCUGUUGUUCAUACGACUCUAAUAAUUUGCCGAGAUCGGAUUUUAUCUACGUAUCCAACCAGGGAAGACUGAUGAGAGCGAGUUUCUUGCCGGAUUCGUCCGUCAAACAAGCAACUCCUUGAUCUUGGUGAUGUUCAGGUGUCGCACUACCCGCAGGGAAGCUCAAGGCCAUCGCCACCGACGUCGGCCGCCCCGGUGCAGGAGGAAACAUGCACGUGCUCGGGCCUCGGGGAAAUUGGCAGCGUCGUCCACGCCCAGGUCUUCGACAGGUCCAGCUACCGACAGGGAUCAAUCGUCCAAUCAUCAAGAGGUUUGGUGCUCAACUCUUGAAGAAGGCCUACACCGAUCCAUCCAAGGCACAGGCCGCCGCCUCUUGCUGUUACUCGCAGGGGAUGGUGAGAAAGAUAGAGUCGACGGCUAGGUGGGUGUGUAACCCACCUGUGUUACUCGCUGGCCACUCCUGGAGCGUAGGUCGCCAUAGCCAUCCGUGGCUUCGACGCUCGGCUGCUGCCCCACGGACGUAUUCGCCACACCCCUCAGCCGACGCUACUGCCCUCCACUAUGUGGCUAUCCUUCAGGCAUGAUUCUGACGCCCUACCAAAACUAGCACCACGCUGCCAGGCUGAUUUUUGCUUUUUACAUGCAGGGAAAUUAAUUAUAUGCAUGUUCUGUUCGGUUGCCUGAUGCCCAGUACUGGUGUCUGCGGGGAUAGUACAGCCUAGCCUCUUCAGUAGGUGCAAUGGCAGUAAAGCUUAUGAGCUCAUUGUUAGCAUGUACGUGAGCAGUUAACAUGCUGGUGUGAAGCAGAGGUGCGUGUAUUGAGAGCACCCAUGAUUCAGGAAAAAAGCUAGACAAAUUAACAAACUUUGUACAAGUUGUACUUGAAGCCAGUGAUAGCUCGUUCAAGGAUGCUGAUUGUGAUUAUCCUACUUCAACAACGUGCUUGCCACUCAGGAGUGACAAAGUACAGCAUGCUGCUGUUCUUUAAGAAACCCCUUCAACUUAUGUAUGCAAUAUGUACUUGUGAAGAACUAUGACAGAGCCUUGUUUAUUGUAUGCAUGUCUAAUGUAUUUUCAUACUGAAUAGAGUAACAUGCUCUUGCCCCCACGGUCCCGGCACCACGUUUGCAAUUUGUAUUCUUGGUCGCGCGUUGCUCAAUCAGGUGAUGCGAGAAACUCAGGAUGGGGGCAAAAUGGUCUUGACCACUGGCGAACUCUUCUAUCUCACCGACUCCCUUUGUAUUCGAGUCCAGCAAUUCAACAUGUAGGCUGAACCCAGGAGAGAACAAAUUAUAUGCACCUCUUUUAGUAUCUUUAAUCAAAGUUUGCAUCUCUAUCAUGUUCACUUGGACAAUGACUAAACCUAUUAUAUGUCCUUUCAAGUUCACACAAGAAAUUAGAUAUGU